rnacentral:lncRNA from 1 species
GAACUCCGAGAUUUUCUUUAUUAUUAUUACUUUUAUACAUUUUACUGGAGGAUAGUUAAAAGUUCUCAUCACAAAAAAAUCUAACAGUAUGAAGUGGUAGAUGUUAUCUAAACUUACUGUGAUAAUCCUUUCACAUUUGAUAUGUACAUAUACAUAUCAAGUCAUUAUGUUGUAAACCUUAAACCAUUGUAAUCUUAUAUGUUAAUUUUAUCUCAAUAAAACUGAAAAAAAAAACGAAUGAAAAAAAAAGAGAAAAGAAAGGCAGUACUGGGUUUCUGUGCAGAGAACCUGGUCACAUAUCAUUGUUGAUUAUUUACCAGCUUGGGGACUCUGGGCAACUUAUUUAAUCCUUCUGAACCUUAGACUUUGUAGUUACCUUAAAUUGAAGUACAAUCACCAUGCUCACCUGGACAUUUUUGAUGAUCAAAGAAGAGAAUGUAUAAAAAGAUAAUAGUUUGUCAAAAGUCAUGUCCUAUACAGGUAUUGUUAUGAUGAUGUCUCAGGUAGCAGACACACUUGAAUCCUCACAACAUAGAGCAGGGAGUCAGAUUACUGGAGAGAGUCAGGUUGUAUUUCUUGGAAGACCUGGGGAGUAGACAAGGGUUCAGUCAUGGAGGAAUUAGGGAAAUUCAGGAAACCAGAAUACAAGUGGCAUGUCAGGAAUCCGUUUAUUAGAAUUUGGUUUUAAGGUUGGGUGUAAUUAAAAAACCAAAGUCUAAGUAGCAGAAUCUGGACAUAAUGAUUAGAGCUAGAUCAUCAGCAAGUUCCACCACCCUGCCCAUCCUGCAGGGUCUUUAAAAUGGCUCUUGAUUAAAGCCAGGAAUGACCUCAAAUUGUUGGGUGGGUCUGAAACUAUGCAAGGAGAGAGAACGUGCUUUCCUAGGUCUGGUGAUAGAGAUAUUAGGUAGAGAGCCAGGUAGAACUUGAAUCAUUAAAAAACAAAAACAGGGAGUUCCUGUUGGGCUCAGCAGUAAUGUAACCGACUAGUAUCCAUAAGGACUUGGGUUUGAUCCCUGGCCUCGCUCAGUGGGUCAGGGAACUGGCAUUGCUGUGAGCUGUGGUAUAGACUGCAGAUGCAGCUCUGUUUCGACCCCUAGCCUGGGAACUUCCAUUGAAAUGUAUGAUCCUUCUCCAGCUGCUGCACAAAUAAAUGAUCACACUGCUCAGUAACAGAAUACUAAUGAGGAGCCCAGGUUCUUUAAGAAAGCUGAAACAUAGUAAUCAUCAAAGCACACAUCAGAAAACUCCAGUUACAUAUGAUGAUAAAAUAGUGUCAGGUGUAUUAAUUCAUUUAACUUGCAAAUAGAAAAUUAGACCAGUCUAUUUGAUAAUACCUUAUCUUCCAAUAGGUUUAAACUUAGAAGGAUGCCUGAUAAAAAUGCUAUUAAACCAAUGACAUCCAAAACUAAAUUAAAAUCAUUUGGUCUUCCAUUAGUUCAAAAAAAGUAUUCAAUUAUUAUUAAACUAGGAACUGGUUUAAUUUUCUCUCUUAAUUUUUAUCAAAAAGUCAUGUGGUAAGAAAUAGUGAUUAAUUAUUCUCUUUACAAAUUGUUCCUAAAAUUUAAAGUGAUUUGUACAAGAAAUCAUUAAACAGAGGUGAGACGAAAAUUCCACUAUUUUCUUCUCGAGAUGGCAAUUUUUGAUAAUGUGCUUCAGGCAUUUGAGUUUCUUCAGCAUUUCUGCUUUAUCAGAAUUUAACAUAAUGUAGCUUCUCACAGCAAAUGACAUCAGCUGGGGUCUAUUAUCUCAAAGUAAGUAUGGAAGAAGUCAACAAAGCAUUGAUAUGGUGGAACAGCAAAUUUCAAAGUGUGGGCCCUAGGUCAGUACAAUUAGCAUCACCUAGGAACAUGUUAGAACUGGAGAUCAUCUUUUUUUUUUUUCAGGGCUGCACCCGUGGCAUAUGGAAAUUCCCAGGAUAGGGGUUGAAUUGAAGCUGCAACCUCCCCCACAGCCAAGCAGUGUAGGAUCUGAGCCACGUCUGUGACCUAUACCACAGCUCACAGUAACGCUGGAUCCUUAAUCCACUGAGCGAGACUAGGGAUCAAACCCACGUCCUCAUGGAUAGUUGGGUUUGUUACUACUGAGCCAUGACAGGAACUCCCUAGAAAUGGAAAUUCUUAGACCUAUCCCAGAUCUUUUGAGUCAGUAUAUGGGGAUGGGCCUCAUGGGUCCCAGCAAUCUGUAAUUCAUCAAGCCCUCCAGAUGAUUUUGAUGCACAUUCACAUUUGAGAACCACUGCUGACUAAGGUACUAACAAUGUGAGAGCCCAGUUAAAAAGGUAAUGGUUUUUGUAACUAAGGUAAGGAAGUUAACAAAAAAUAUUGAUGAGUAGACAUUAGAUAGCCUUACAAUGAAUCGGACAGGCAGGAAGCAUCAACAUCUGACAUAAGUAUCUUCUCCUCCCAAUUCAGGAUAGUUGGUAAGGGUUAUUUAUACACAAAUGAAAUUCCCCUUGUUGAUUUUGUUGUCUCAACAAAUAGCAAUAGAAGACCCUUGCAUGGGCAAGACAGGAUAGAAGUGUCUGCCCCUUUUAUUAGAAAGACAAGCUUUUCAAUAGCAACACUCCACUUAGCAGAUUUCUAUGGCUUACCGGACAGAACAAUGGCUCAAAACAACCCCCAGCAUCAUGGGAUGAUGGGAAGGCACGUAUGGAAUUUUGUUUUUCUCUCUGAUAGCGUUUAUAGUUCUUUAGGAAAGAACUCAUACAGGCAAGGAGGGAUUGACAUGAAUAAUAGGUCAGUUAGUCUCUAGAAUUAUAAAUAGAUGUCAGUCCAGGUAACCAUAAGUUACUAAAGUAACUAUUUAUAACAAGGAUCUGUGACACAGGGCAAGUGAGAUGUGUCAAAGUGGAACCCCAAAUCUCAGGUCCCCAAGUUUCCAGUGGGGUGCCUUUCCUGAUGCCUAAAGACAGGACCAUAUUAGAAUGUACACUUGUAGUGUCUCAGAGGUCAUCACUUGCCCUUCCUGGGAGGAGUGACUUAUCUGCCUAGUGAAACUUGGGAGAGCCUGCCAUUCCAUGACUCUAUCUGCCUGGAGGCAGGGUACUACGUAGAAACAUAGAUAAUGCUGGUCAAUCUCUCUUUCUCUUGAACCUCUCUGUCCAUGAGUUACUUCUCCUUUGUGGUGCACACACUGGACAGACCUCAGAGUGGGGAAAGGUUUCCUGCUUUCUCCCUGAUGACUGAAUGGGAAAAUUAAAAUUGGAAUAAGAGGGAGGCUGGCUUGUCCAUUUCUGAAAUUCAGCUUUUCCAUCAUGAAGCUAGAUGUGUAUUUUGACUCCUGCUUGUUGCUUUUAUUUGCUAUUAACUGAAUAUAACCCAGAGAGAAGGGAGGGUGUGUGACAACUCCUCCAAACCUCUAACAAAGACAAUAAAAUUAUGGGAGACUUGUCUCUGCAAUCUACAACCUAUGAGGAAUACAUAUUUAUUUCUAAUACAACAAAAUGAAAAUGUUGGAAGGGUCAUAUAACAAUUUCCAAAAGUGGGAAAUGGAUAUGAGUGUAAUAGGGUUCCAUCAGGAAAGCAGAACUUCUAUGAGUAUCAUGGAAUAAGGGAUUAUUGUAGGAAUAAGAGGAACAGUUGUGGAAGAAGAUGGCCCUCCUCAGAGGGGAAGCUGGUGGACCAGAGACCUUCUUGCUCCUAGCCAAACUCCUAUAGCACUGAGACAAGUUGGGAGCUUGAGAGAGAAUCUAGGCAGCUGCCAGAGAGAGAUUGUGAAGGAAAGCUAGCAAUGUUUACAGAAGACUGCUGCCUCCAUGCCUGGUGGUGAGCCUAGGCUGCUGUGGCUCAGUAGGACUGGCAGGUGAGAGGAAGAGCUGCACCCAGAGCAGAGAGUAAAGAUAACCUGAAUCCCCUGGUUUCUCUGAAUCUUUCUCUCACCAAACCUAACUAUGGAAACCUUCAGAAGGUAAUGACAGCUGCUUUGUCUCUGCCCUCCAAAUAUUAUGCAGUUUCUCUAUUGACUCACUCUAAUCCUAAACUUUAAAAAGGGUUUCUGGGAAAUAUACAUCCAGCCAUACUUCCCUUACAAAUAAAGACAGUAGAAAAUUAUGCUUCCACUUAAAAUGAUUCAUUGAUGUCUGUAAAAAUCAAAACUCACCCUCUCCUGAAAGGAUAAAGAAUUCCAUGUCACCCAUCACAUGUGCUGUCCAUUCCUCUUUGGGUUGAAUCAUAGUACUGCUUUGAUAUCCUAUAAUCUAAAUGCCAGGCUAUAAGGUUAGCCACUAUUAAUACAUCUUGGUUAGAUAACAGGGGAAUAGAAGGUUGGAGGAGAGCAAAGAAAAAUAACUGAAAUCAAGAAAAGAAUAUACACAUUUAUUUCAAAGCUGGGAUGAAAUACUCGUAACUGCUACAGUCCCUGUUUGCAACUGAACAUACAGUCAUUGCUGGUAAUUCUAUCUUCCUUCUGGCACUAUCCAUUCCAUACCUCUUUAUUCUUAGUAAGCACUUUAGCUGGUCUUAGAUUGUUCCCUACUGAGGUGAUGGAAACUGUCAUUCCUAAAAGUCUGGACUCAUUAGCAGUUGAUGCAGUUUUCCAUUCAUUUUAUCACAGACACACGAGUUCCAAAAGGCGCUUCAGAGACUUUCCUGUGUUGCAGUCAUUGUCCUCCCUGCCUCCGUUGUGAUCAUUCCUCUGAGCCAGUAUAGCAACCCCUUCAUUUCCUGGUGGUUCACUGGCAGUAGAAGCUCAAAGGGCCAGGUGCCAAGCUCAACCUCCAGUUUAUCAGACCAUUUGUUGUAGCUCUUGAUGAAAGAAUUUUACUCUGAAAUCAGAAACAAAUCCAGCAGAGACGAAGAUUGUGGGAACAGGAAGCUCAAAUUCUGCUGCAUCAGAGGGAAUGGAGGAGUGCAAAAUACUAAUUUCCCUUGCAGAGAAAACAUUUGAUAAAAAUUUUAAAUUCUUUUAAACUUAAAAAUAAAACCUUUUAAAGUCUCAUAAAGGAUUUCUUAAAAAAACAUAUAUCAACCACACUUAACAGUGAAAUGUUCACAACAUACUGUGGGUGGUUCUCUUGGAUUCUUUCAGGUAAAUUUAGUAAUAAAUUGGGUACAAAGUAUGAAACUGCUUAUAGAAAUUGAUAUUCUUUCACACAUUAACACACACACAUAUAUAUAUAAAUUAGAAAAUAGAGAUAAAAAGAUGACAAAAAAUUAAAAUUUAACAAUACUUAUAUAUAAUAACUACAAAAAUAAAAUAUCAAAGGUCAUAAAAGACUUGAAUUUAUGGAAAGUUUUUAUAUUUUAGAAAAGUUGAUUUAACAUUAUAGAGAUGUCAAUUUCCUCUAAGAUUUUCUAUAAAUUUUCUAUAAAUCUAACAUUCAAAUGUCAAUCUUUUUUUAACUAGACAAGAUGUUUCUAAAAUAAUAUGGAAAAAAUAAAUGAACAAGUUUAUACAGGAAAAUUCUUAAAUAAAAAUGAGAAGCUCUAUUAAAUAUCAUCAAGCUGCAAUAGCAAAAAUUAGAAAAGAUAAAAAUGUAAAAAUCAUCACAGAAAAAUUAUACUAUAAACAUAAAAAAUAUCAUACCCCAGCUAGGCAUUCAACUAACUGGGGAAAAUAUUUGUAACUUUUAUCACUGGUACUUGGAAAAUUUACUUAUAAAUUGUAUACAAUUCAAUAAGAAAAUUAUGGAUAACCCAAGAGAAAAAUUAGAAAUGGAUUCAGUUCUCAGAGGAAACAGAAGAAAGUAGUUUUUACAGGUAUGACAGCCAUGAAAAGUUUAACACUGUAAUAAAUGAUACUGUUUGAUAACAAUAAAAUGAGGAUGUGGGAAAAAAGACAUUGCUGCUGGCAUAUUUUUAAAUGCACAUACAUUUGGACCAAGUAAUUCCACUUCAAAUGACAUAUAUAUAUAUAAUAAUUGUAGAGUGUUCAUUAUAGCAAAAGAUGAAAAAUAAUUUGUUUGUUAAAUGAGUUGAAUGAUGGCAUAUCCAUUAGUGGAAUACUAAGAAAUUGUCAAAAAUGAUCAAGAAGCUCUAAGUAUGCUGAUAUCCUGCAACAUUUUCCUAGACACUAUAUGGUGAGAAAGGGAAGGUAUGGAAAAAUAUGUAUAGAAUGUUUUUAUUUCUGUAACCCACCAAAAACAUGUAUAUGCAUAUACAUGUUUUUAUGUAUUGUACCUUUAAGACUGCAUAAAAAACCUGGUAACAAGUGAAUAAUUCUGUGAAGAGAAACCAGAUGGCUAAGAUAGAGGAGUAAAAGGGAAUAAUUAUCACCAUGUAUCUUCUUUUUUUACAUUAGAAAAUAAUAUAUCUUCAGUAUGGUUUUAGAUUUACACUUCCUCACCUCUUGGGACCCCUAUUAUUUACAUCUUGCAUUAGUGUCAUAUAUUUACUACAAUUAAUGCACCACUACUGAUAUAUUAACCAUAGUUUACAGUGUAAGCUUCACUCUUUGUGUUGCAGACUUCCAUGGGUUUUGACGAAUGUCACGUGCCCAUGAUUACAGCAUCAUACAAAAUAGUUUCACUACACUGAAAAACCCUAUGUUCCACCUAUAUCCAUCCUUCCUGCUAUUCCUACCCCAACCUCAGGCAACCACUGUUUCUACUGUUACUAUAGUCUUUACUUUCGAUAAAGUUUUUGCUUUUCUAGAAUGUCAUGUGGUUGGAAUUGUUCACCUAAAACAAACUGCUAGUUAUUUCUCUGGCAAAAAUUGGUUAGGUAACAACAAAGAAUUGUAAUUUAGGUUUUGCAACCUUAGGAACUCAUGGAAGUCCUCACACAGCAAGGGAAUGAAAACUUUUAUAGAAGGGAAGAGACUUGGGAGGGCUAUAGUAAACAGAGUCCCUAGCUUUUCAUUGGUUGAAUUGUUGCCAAGUGGAUUUUUUUUUCCCCCUGCUGAGCUCUGCUAGUGUAGCAGGGUGUGGGAGCUCCCCCUUCUGGCCUCUUCGCUCUAUUUUAACUGAGAUCUUGUUUCCUUUUACAGAAUGAUACACUAUGUAGGGUCUUUUGUUGAGGAUUUUUGUACAGGCAUACCUCACAUCAAGCUUCCAAGAAGUUGCAUUUUUUUACAGAUCAAAGGUUUGGGGUAAACCUGUGUUGAGCAAGUCUAUCAGCACUAUUUUUCCAACAGCGUUUGCUCACUUCAUGUCCCUGUCACAUUUUGAUAAUUUUCACAAUAUUUCAAAUUUUCCAUUAUUAUAUUUGCUUUGGUGAUCUGUUUGAUAUUACUAUUGUAAUUUUUUUGUAUUUUUUAAUGAUACACAUUUUUUCAGAUAUAAUGAUAUGCAUGCAAAAUAGACUACAGUAUAAACAUCUUUUAUAUGCAUUUAAAAGUAAAAAAAGUAGUAUAACUCACUUUAUUGAGAUAUCUAUUUUAUCAUCACUGGUCUGUAAGAUUACUUGCAGUAUCUCCAAGGUAUGCCUGUAUCUUUGAUUUUGAGCUAUUGUAGCUUUCCUUUCUUGUAAUAUUAGUCUGGUUGUGGUAUUAGGGUAAUGAUGGCCUCAGAGAAUGAUGUACUUCUAUUUUCUGGAAGAGACUAGAGAAUUUGUAUCAUUUCUCCUAAGUUUGGUAGAAUUCACCAGUGAAACCAUCUUAGCCUGAUAUUUUCUGUUUCGGAAGGUUAGUAAUUAUUAACUUAUUUAAUAGAUACAGUCCUACUCAGAGUAUCCAUUUCUCCUUGUGUGAAUUUUGGUAACUUUUGUCUUUCAUGAAAUUGGUCCAUCUAAGUCAUUACAUUUGUGGGCAUAGAGAUGCUCAUAAUAUUCCUUUUCUACCCUUUUCAUAUUCAUGGGCUCAGUAGUGAUGACCACUAUUUAGUGGGCCUGUACUCCUGGGCUGCAACUGUUACAAGAGCUUCCUGGAGUUUUCUUCCUUAGGUGAGACUUGAAGACUAAAAGGAAAUUAGGUAACUAUGCUUGCCCCAAGCUUGAUAGUCUUCCAUUUUUUUUCCCUGUUGGAUAGGGCUUUGUUAGAAAAAGUUCUGGGCUUAUCUCGAGAGUUACUUUCCCUCUUCCCCUAGCCAGACAUGGAGGGAGUUUCCUCUGAUCUUCACCAUGAUAACCUACGAGGUUUCCAAGAUUUUAUAUCUCAGGAAAGAGUACAAGUAUGGGGGUUCCCAGGAGUUUGUAACUCUCAAGCUAGUUCACACAGCUUCUAGCAAUUAUUCAAGUUAUUACGUGUUCUCACCAUGCUUUUGCUAAAAGUAGGUUGAUUCGUUCUUCUGUCUCUCCUGUUUUUGAGGUGGUGGUUAGUCCUGUAACCCCAAUUCUCUGAUGGAUCUAAGAAAAUUCAUCGAUUUUUCAGUUGGCCAUCUUUUUUCUUGUUUUGAUGGUGGGAGAGACAACUUUCAAGCUAUUUACAUGUUGAAAUGGAAACUGAAAGUCCAUGCAGCUUUUCUUAAAUUUUGAAUUUUGCACCAUGUGCUUAUAUAAUCUAUUUUUCUUCUACCCUAAAUGGAGAAUCUCAGUUAUAAUAAGGUGAUACUAUUGUCCAUAGAAUGGGACAGAUCCAAAAGGAGCAUAAAUACAUUUGAUUAGUAUGUAAUUAUCAUUGAACUAACACAGCUCUUGGAAAUAUUAGCAGAAUGAUCAGAAGUUAAAUACUCACCCAGGUAUCAUAGCAAAUGAGACAUUUUACUACUUGAAUCAAUUCACAACCUCAAUAUUUCAAGUCUCUCAUUCAGAUUAGUAGCUCAAAGAUAGCAGCAAUUCAAGUCAUGACUUCAAUAAGUCUAACCUCAAGGGUAUUUGCAUGAAAUGCCACUCAGACUAAAUGGUUCAAGGUGACCUUGCUUAUUCUCUUACUAUUUUUACACAGCCAGUUUCAAACAUCUGUUACCAUGUUAUCGCUCCUCU